rnacentral:lncRNA from 1 species
GAACUUCGGUUCCUCAUCUGCCAGUUGGCAGACGCUCAGCAAAUCUUCCUAGACUCACGGGGCGAAUUGUACAGUUGGGUAAAUCGAGGCCCAGAGAUGGCAAAAGGACCGUCCAAGGUCGUACAGCCACCCGGAAUUACAAUUCUUUUCUGCCGGGUCACACGCUGUCAUCCACGUGUUACCUAAGAGAGCUUUCCAGCCUGUGCUAAGAAAACUGCCCCACAUCAUCUGCAGUAGGACGGGGGAGUUGGAGCCCUGGUCAGGCCACUCUGCUACUGACCACAGUUUUCUCAUCUCUAAAAAGGCGCAGUAACAAUAUAAUUACCGUAUGCAGUCCCCCAGGAUACAGGGUCAAAGGAGAGCACAACCAUCGCAGUUGGAAGCCCAUGGGGCAGACCCAGACUUCACCCUCAGGUCACCCUCACCUGGACUUUGGGGUGCCCCACACCCCGCCCCAGGCCCUGGCCUCUGGAAUAUUUGGAAACUUGAACUGGGCCAGAGGCUUAAGCUCACAUCUGUCUGGAGCCUCAACUUUCUCCUCUGUAAAAUGGGCUAACACUGAAAGAACCUUGCAGAAUCUCAGCAACGUCACAGAGGACAUUGUUAGCACAGCCAGCGGGCUCCUGCUGGGCUGAGUUUGUGGGUAAUCCAAGCCUCGGCAGGUACAGUUCCUCCCUCAGAAGCAAGGUCUCGCUGUGUUACCCUGGCUGGAGUGCAGUGGCUACUUACAGGCAUGAUCAUAGCAUACUGCAGCCUCGAACUCCUGGACUAGAGCAGUUCUCCUGCCUCAGCCUCCAGAGCAGCUGGGACUGCAGACACGCACCACAGAGCCCAGCCUGAGUCAUUUUGAUUCUGUAACUGGCUUCCUCUCGGCGGGCAGGCUCACACCCUCCACCCCCAGCUGGAGAUGGAAGGAGGAUGCUCACCGCCCAUUCCUCAUGCAGGCCAUCGAUGGAAAUGUCAGACAGUGCGAGUCCACGCCUGAACACUUCUGGGGUCCGCUCUGGGACUGACACUGGCAGAUCCAUCGGUGAGCUCCCGCCUGCCACCUCUGGGCCUGCAUUGCGGUGAUAGGGCCAAGGGCCUGGGCCUUCAAUUCUCCAGACUUGCCAAAAUGCUCAGCGCAGGCCUCGUCGGCAACUGCAGACAAGCAGAGGCAGCACCUGGGCUCUGCCUGUGCCUGGCACAGUGAAGCGAGGGUGGGGGCAGGAAUGAGGGUCCUCUCCAUGCAAGGGGGGAAGAUAGAAGAACAAAAUUUCACCCUAAUGUAGUGUCUUUAGACCGUGCAAUGUUGUGCUCCUGUUAGUCUGAUAUCAGGGGCUUGCAGCCUGGCAAAGGAAAAAAAACAGGCUGAGGCACAUGAUAGAAGACAGGCAGGGAUGCCACAAUCAUAACCAUGGCAAAGACCAGGAUCAGAAAGGCCCACCAUCUCUGACCCCAAAUCCCUGGGCAGAUGGUUCCAGAACUCAGAAUUUUCCCAGUUGUAGAAAGAUGGGGCCAGGUGCAGUGGCUCACGCCUGUAAUCCCAGCAUUUUGGGAGUACAAGGUGGGCGGAUCACCUGAGGUCAGGAGUUCGAGACCAGCCUGGCCAACAUGGUGAAACCCUGUCUCUACUAAAAAAAAAAAAAAAAA